UACAGUGGAUGGAUCACAGACGAGCUUCUACAACGAAUAGACUCCACCAGCAGGAUCUCUACUCCGAACUUCUUUCGGACUUCAUCAAUGAUCGAGCUUCUCCAACAGCGGGAUUUCUACAAUAAGAAGUCUCCAUCCGAGCUUCCACGAUAGUCGAUCUUCAUCCGAGCUUCUACAAUAAGCGGACUUCAUCCAAACUUCUACAAAAGU
rnacentral:lncRNA from 1 species